UUUCCAAGCCCAGAUGCCUAUAUGAGUUACAAUGUUAAUUCUGUUUAUAUUCACUAAAGCAGUUUCAGCUUGUUUGUGAACUGGUUUCGCUGAUCUCUGUCUAUGUUGCUGUAUUUUAAUACACAGCAUAUUCUGUAAGGCUGAUGCAUUAAUCUGGUUAAGAAAUCAAAACAGGUAUUUCCAGACUGAGAGGUUUCACUUGUUGAAUCCCCAAGGGAAUUUAACUCUGUACUGUGGAUUUUUGACUGUUUUCAUUUCAAUUGAAUCAGAAUUAUUAUGCUGAGGAUAAAUUUGUACCGGCUUGUUCACUGGCUUAUUUGAAUGAUUACACAAUUGUCACACUCUAGGAAAUAAUUCUGCUAUUCAAAGCAUAGGGCUAAUCAGAAUUUUUUCCUUGGAAAUAAAAGAUUAUGGGUAAAAAGCAUAGAGGAGAACAAGACUAUAUUAUCUCAUGAAAGCAAUCAACAAACACUAAUCCCUUUAAGUGCUCAGUUCUGAAGUAGAAUAGCACUUGUGCAUGGUAUAGAAUGUAAAAGGAUCAGUCUGUACUACCAGCUAGGCAGACAAAAUAAGCAGAAAAGUACUCCAGUUUGCACCUUUCUGAAAGAAAUGGUCCUUCUUUCUAUUAUUCACUGAAUUGUUAUUCGCACAGAUAUUUGUGAUUUUCAGUUAAUACUGCAAGAGAGAUAGUAAUUAUAUUUGUUUUAGAAGUAAUAUUAUUAUUCCAGAACUAGUAUUUCUGUUGCCUAAUUAUCCCUUUGAAUCACCCUAUGUGAACCUUGCUUGGUUGCGUUCCUUUUCCCUUCUUUUCUUUUUUUUUUUUUUCUUUUUUUGAGUUUGAACAAAAGGUUUACCUGAUUACAAUAACUAUUUGCUUUAGUUAAAAAAAUGUCCAAGACAAGACAUUAGGCUGUACUUGACCACAUUGGAUUGCCUUCAAGAACAUGAAGGAGACCUGGCUGGGAAUAUUCAAUACCUCAUCAUUCAUACAAAGUUUUCUGAUCUUUCUUGUAGUUGCCCAGCAACAAAGUGUCCAAGUCAGUCCCUUUUAAUUAAUGACAGGGAAGAAUGGGUUAAUAAUUAAUGCAAAGAUAUGGGACUUCUGAAGUAAGGUCUUGACAGUUCAUGUCUUUAAUACAUGGAGCUGGCUUUUAACCUAGGAAAAUUAUUUUUCUCACAAUAUUUAAAUAAAUGUCUCAUAAGGUUAUUGAAAUUUAAACUGUGAAUUAUAUGCCUCUCACUUUCAGAUCAUAAUCAACGUCUGAAUGAUGUAUAUUCUACCAAGUAAGUUCCAGAAAAAUGGUUUUGCCAGAUACCUUAAAAACUACAUGGACAAAAUACUCUUAAGGCAUGGAUUACUGUACAAAAUGGGGUUGCCAAGACAUUAACACUUUCUUAAUUUUGUCACUCCUUUGCCCUGCUGGGUUUAUACAUCCUAACUGAUCCCUAGCCAUGUGGCCUUUCCAUAGAAUGUUCACAAGUACUCAGGUCUUUUAUUCAGAAUACAGCUCUUAGUAGAAUUGUAAAACAGCUUGUAGGAAAGCCUUGUCUUUUGAAAAUAGGCUGCAACAGGGAGGUUGCAAUUGUGUUUGAAAAAUUUUGUCAGAAAUGUUUAUUAACUGUGGUACUGCCCUGGGUCAGGACAGGGGGAUGUUAUCAGCACUUGACUCACAACAGCCAUAUCAUUUAGGUGAAGGCAAAAGCGAGGAGAAAUAUUUCACAGUGUUACCAAGAGACGAGUUUCCUUGUGAAAUUUAUUGCCCAUGAAAAUAAUGGAUUGUAGAAUUAACCUGUCACACAAAGAAACAGAUAAUGUGGCCUUGCUCUUGCUGCUCAAUGGCCGUGGCUAGACCGGGGGUUACUGGCAACACAGGUGAUGCUGAGUUACCUGCAGUUCCAUGAAAUAAUUGCAGCAGAAAUCUCCCACUUAUUUAUUUGUUUACUUUUAACAGUGCAAAGAUGCAUGAGUUAAUGUCUUCACGAUGUCUUUUAUGACACCAGGGCUGGCACUACUCCCGGGGCGAUGGUCAGGCCCCGGAUGUCACAGAGCCGUGUGGGGAGGCUCAGCCAUUCCUAAAAAGAGGGCGUGGGGAAGUAUCCCCAGAGGAAUGUCACUGAUGCCACGGCGUCCCGGCACGGCGUCCGAGGGCUGUGCAGGUGGAUUUUAGGUGCUCCCUCUGGAAGCAGCGCAGAAAUAGGGAACACAAAAGGAAAGCCUUCUCCGAGAGACUCCAGGAACUAUAUUUGCUGUCUUGGAUCAUCUUCACUGCUAUCUUCUCUGCUUUCCGACUUCUACCCUCCCUGAGGUGAAAGGACCAGAUUGCAUACAGAGACUUACCCAGCAUGGACAGGUUUUUGUCAAAAUAAACCAUGAGAAUAGAUUAUAA